rnacentral:rRNA from 1 species
AAUAGAUACCCAGGUAGUCCACGCCGUAAACGGUGGGCACUAGGUGUGGGCAACAUUCCACGUUGUCCGUGCCGCAGCUAACGCAUUAAGUGCCCCGCCUGGGGAGUACGGCCGCAAGGCUAAAACUCAAAGGAAUUGACGGGGGCCCGCGACAAGCAGCGGAGCAUGUGGCUUAAUUCGACGCAACGCGAAGAACCUUACCAAGGCUUGACAUACACCGGAAACGGCCAGAGAUGGUUGCCCCCUUGUGGUCGGUGUACAGGUGGUGCAUGGCUGUCGUCAGCUCGUGUCGUGAGAUGUUGGGUUAAGUCCCGCAACGAGCGCAACCCUUGUCCCGUGUUGCCAGCAAGCCCUUCGGGGUGUUGGGGACUCACGGGAGACCGCCGGGGUCAACUCGGAGGAAGGUGGGGACGACGUCAAGGUCAUCGAUGCCCCUUAUGUCUUGGGCUGCACACGUGCUACAAUGGCCGGUACAAUGAGCUGCGAUACCGCGAGUGGAGCGAAUCUCAAAAAGCCGGUCUCAGUUCGGAUUGGGGUCUGCAAC